CAGCGGCGACGCAUCCCGACAUUGCAGAGCUGUGUGCUUGUCCCUGCCUGCAGCCACAGCCGAGUGCACGAGCACCUCGCAAGCCAUGUCGAAGUCCCACAGCGAAGCCGGGACGGCUUUCAUCCAGACCCAGCAGCUGCACGCAGCCAUGGCUGACACAUUCCUGGAGCACAUGUGCCACCUGGACAUCGACUCGGCCCCCAUCACAGCCCGCAACACCGGCAUCAUCUGUACUAUCGGCCCGGCCUCCCGCUCGGUGGAGACCCUGAAGGAGAUGAUUAAGUCUGGGAUGAAUGUGGCCCGGCUGAACUUCUCUCAUGGAACUCAUGAGUACCAUGCGGAGACCAUCAAGAACGUGCGUACAGCCACCGAGAGCUUCGCUUCUGACCCCAUUCUCUACCAGCCAGUGGCUGUGGCCCUGGACACCAAGGGCCCUGAGAUCCAAACCGGGCUCAUCAAGGGCAGCGGUACCGCCGAGGUGGAGCUCAAGAAGGGAGCCCCGCUCAAGAUCACGCUGGACAAUGCCUACAUGGAGAAAUGUGAUGAGAACGUGCUGUGGCUGGACUACAAGAACAUCUGCAAGGUGGUGGACAUGGGCAGCAAGAUCUACGUGGACAACGGCCUCAUUUCUCUGCUAGUGAAGGAGAAAGGUCCUGACUUCCUGGUGACGGAGGUGGAAAAUGGUGGCUCCCUGGGCAGCAAGAAGGGUGUGAACCUCCCCGGUGCUGCAGUGGAUCUGCCCGCUGUGUCCGAGAAGGACAUUCAGGACCUGAAGUUUGGGAUAGAGCAUGGGAUAGAACCACAUGGUGUUCGCGUCCUUCAUUCGCAAGGCUGCUGACGUCCACGCGGUGAGGCAGGUCCUGGGGGAGAAGGGCAAGAACAUCAAGAUCAUCAGCAAGAUCGAGAACCACGAAGGCGUGCGGAGGUUCGAUGAGAUCCUGGAGGCCAGCAAUGGCAUCAUGGUGGCCGGUGGUGACCUCGGCAUCUAGAUUCCUGCAGAGAAAGUCUUCCUGGCCCAGAAGAUGAUGAUUGGGCAUUGCAACCGCGAGGGGCAGCCCGUCAUCUGCGCCACGCAGAUGCUGGAGAGCAUGAUCGAGAAGCCGCGGCCCACACGGGCUGAGGGCAGCGACGCGGCCAACGCUGUACUGGACGGGGCAGACUGCACCAUGCUGUCCGGGGAGAUGGCCAAGGGCGACUACCCGCUGGAGGCCGUGCGCAUGCAGCACCUGAUUGCCCGAGAGGCAGAGGCUUCCCCGGUCCCUCCAGACAUACAAGCUGAGAGCAUGUGGCUCGACGCUCCCAUCGUGGCCUGGAGAUCACCCCCAGAGCGGAAGAAUGGAGCCAUUGCAGCUGUGGCUGCUGCCCUGCAGCCCAUGGAUCUGCAGAAGUUUCCAGAACUUGUCAAGAGCAUCAGCCACCCCCAGAGGCACAGUGUGGAGCCCAUCGCUGACGUGAACCAGCUGAACGUGGUCUGA